CUGAGAGAUGCAGUUGUGAUGUUUGAUUUUUAUUAUUAUUAAAUAAAUUAGAUUAAUUGUACCGCAUGCUGGAAGACAUUAGGGAACUACUUCACUUGCCUGCACUUGCCUUUAGUAUAUUCUCAAAUUUGUACCUGUCAUUCUUCAAACCCAUUGGACAAGGUCUGGGGGAGGGACUUAAUUUCAUCCAAUAGACUGUAUGGGAUAUGUUGAAGGGGCCACUAGUUCCAUUUCCUGUACUCUCCCUAUAGUUCCCCUCAGUCUUCACAGCACAGUUCCUGUUUCAUUGUAGUGGAUGUGAUGUGAUGAAUGAACAUUCAUUUGACUGGGAUUUGUUCUCAGCACAACUGUGUCUCUGGGCCGGAACCUAGAGUCUGAGCAUGAUUCCGACAGCUACUCUAGACACUUGGCAUCGGUGCACAACCCUGAGGAAUUCCAGUUCCUGCAGGCACUAACACAGACUGUGAGCCUCCUGCUCUGGAUUGGAGGUUCAGCCCAGAGAAACCCUGGAAUGAUGCAACAUGUGGAAUGAAGUUUCCCUCCCUGUGUUCUCUAAGGACAGAGUAGAUCUGGCAGAAUCAGACUUCAGUGUCUCUGAACAGACUAAGGAUAAUCAAAAGCAUGAAUGUUCUUGUGAAUGCUCCUGAUUUGACUAAUAAAACAAGUGCACACAU